rnacentral:rRNA from 1 species
UACGGAGGGUGCGAACGUUAAUCGGAAUCACUGGGCGUAAAGCGCGCGUAGGCGGUCUGUUAAGUGGGAUGUGAAAUCCCCGGGCUUAACCUGGGAAUUGCAUUUCAAACUGGCCGACUAGAGUACGGUAGAGGGAGGUAGAAUUUCCUGUGUAGCGGUGAAAUGCGUAGAUAUAGGAAGGAAUACCAGUGGCGAAGGCGGGUCUCUGGACAGUUCCUGACGCUGAGGCACGAAGGCCAGGGGAGCAAACGGG